GGGGCUGUAGCUCAGUGGUGCAGUGCUUGCCUAGCAUGCAUGAAGCAAUGGGUUCAAUCUUCAGCACCA
rnacentral:tRNA from 1 species